CUUUACUGUAGCCUGGAAUUGGGUUCGGGCUUUGACUGCGAAGGAUAGGUGGGAGACUAUGAGACAUCCCUUGUGGGGGAUGUGGAGUCAUCAGUGAGAUACCACUCUGUCAAGGCUAGAAUUCUAACUCAUUGCCGUGAUCCGGCAUGGGAACAGUUUCAGGUGGGCAGUUUGACUGGGGCGGUCGCCUCCUAAACGAUAACGGAGGCGCACAAAGGUUCCCUCAGGCUGGUUGGAAAUCAGCCGAAGAGUGUAAAGGCACAAGGGAGCUUGACUGUGAGACUGACAAGUCGAGCAGGGUGGAAACACGGUCUUAGUGAUCCGACGGCACUGAGUGGAAGGGCCGUCGCUCAACGGAUAAAAGUUA
rnacentral:rRNA from 1 species